CUGCGAUUUCUGCGACUUACCACCGUAUGAAAAAGUUACAUCUGUCAACACAGAAAAUUGCAUCUCAACAAACCUGUCAUUGGCAAGUACCUGAACUACAUUUCAGUCACUCAGUAAAGUGAUAACUCAAAAUAUCAUUGUCAACAGAGCUGAAGAAAUUGCCAUUGCGUCUUUAGACCGUUUUCGUCAGACGAGAGACACAGUUCUGACUCCGAUUACUGGUUGCUGUACGUAUCUAUCCACAUGAUGGCUGUUUUUGAGAGAGACUCGUGAAGAUUCAAGACAGCUCUUAGA